rnacentral:rRNA from 1 species
AACGCGAAGAACCUUACCAGGGCUUGACAUCCCUUGAUCGCUGCAGAAAUGCAGUUUCCAUAGCAAUAUGGCAGGGUGACAGGUGCUGCAUGGCUGUCGUCAGCUCGUGUCGUGAGAUGUUGGGUUAAGUCCCGCAACGAGCGCAACCCUCGUCGUCUGUUGCCAUCAUUCAGUUGGGCACUCUGGCGAAACCGCCUCGGAUAACGGGGAGGAAGGUGGGGAUGACGUCAAGUCCUCAUGGCCUUUAUGUCCAGGGCUACACACGUGCUACAAUGGCCGGUAUAAACCGCUGCAAACCCGCGAGGGGGAGCUAAUCGGAAAAAGCCGGCCUCAGUUCGGAUCGCAGUCUGCAACUCGACUGCGUGAAGCUGGAAUCGCUAGUAAUCGCAGAUCAGAAUGCUGCGGUGAAUACGUUCCCGGGCCUUGUACACACCGACUGUAC